rnacentral:snRNA from 1 species
CUGCUUGCUUCAACAACACAUAUAUUAAAAUUGGAGUGAUACAGAGAUUAGCAUGGCUUCUGUGCAAGAGUAACACAAAAAUAUGAAGAAAUUUUAGCUAUAACC